UGCAUCAGGUCAGGACUGCAGCGUCUGUUAUCAUGGGGAUGAAAAAUCUAAACAGUUCAGUUCGUUAUGGAGAUGAAUAUUUUAGGAACUUGAUCUAUUGAGUCACAUCAGAAUCAGAAUCAGCUUUAUUGGCCAUGUGCGUGACAACACACAAGGAAUUUGUUUCCGGCAGUCACUGCCGCCCUUGUACGGCGUUCCGUAAACAUAAAAUGAAAUGACACGUUACCUUUAACGCCCGCUGAACUGAGGUGCGACGAGACACCAUUCAUUCUUUGAAAAGCUUCACGUCAAGGGGGCGGAGCUAGAAACAGUGCAGCAUGCUGAACGGGGUUCACUGUCGGUGAGUUUCUGAAAAGCGAUCUGAUACCAGCUCCACUUUUACGCCAGCCUUCUAUCCAGUGUUGGAUGAAGCACGGAAGGUCGCCCAUGCUGCGUUGACAAGUGAGUGAGACGUCAGGAGGUGCAAAAACGAGAGGAGAGCCGGGCACGUCGCCAAGGGAGGAGCAAGGAGGAGGAGGAGGAAAGAGGCACCACCUGAAUGAUGACGUGGACGAGAGCAAGAGAAAGAGGGUGAGAUAGAGAGAGGAAGGGAGGGGUCUCCUCUCUCCAUCGCUUCUCAUUCAGUUUGAUCAGCAAAGCAGUCGAGCCUCUGGUAAGUUCUUCGUCUUCUUCUUCGGGUUCUUUGAAGGCGUUUAGGGAGGGGAAAAUGACGUCAUAUUUUAUUAACAUCAACUUGCCCACAUCACUAAGACAUUUCAGCGCACCAUGAGACAAAAUAUGUCUUAGUGACAUUUUUUUUUUCCACAGCCAUUCACUUCUGUAUGACAUUUCUUUGGAGAACAACUAAGCUGCACUAGUAGAAGGACUAAAAAAAAAAAUACUACUGUCUUAUACUACUACUACAACAAAAUAACAUUUCUGCGCACUGGUAGAUUAACUAGGGAGUGCUAAUAGAACAACUACGUCUUCAAACUAGUGAUGUUUUUUUCCACCACUACUGCCUUCCACUACACUAUGAUGUUUCUGUGCAGAACAAUUAAGGGCACACUAGUAAAGCGACUGUUUUCUUACUAGUGUAAUUGUUUUACACUACUGCCUCCCAGUACUGUGUGACACUAGUACUACUACUGUAUGAAAUUUCUGUAGAAUGAGUCUUGCGAUAUCGCGAACACUACUGCCUACUGUCUAUGCCAUUUCUUUCUCACAUGGUGCACUAGUAAAACAACAAUUUUCUCAAGAGUGAUUAAUAGUUUGUACGCUAAUGUACAGUGGGACCUCGAUUUCAUGGGCUUCAGAUUUCACAGAAAAUACUGUGCAGUUAAAACUCACCAUCACUCCCAUCAUGCAACAAUGAGCUAAGUUUGAAUUAGCUUGAAAACUUUUCAGACAAAAAACAUAUA